CCUAGCCGUGAGGGAUGAUAGGCCUGUGGGCUGUAAACCUCUUUUAUCAAGGAAGAAGAUCUGACGGUACUUUAUGAAUAAGCCUCGGCUAAUUCUGUGCCAGCAGCCGCGGUAAUACGGGAGUGGCAAGCGUUAUCCGGAAUUAUUGGGCGUCAAGCGUCUGCAGGCGGUUUUACAGAGUCUGUUGUUAAAACGUGGAGCUUACACUCCAUUUCAGCGAUGGAAACUGUAGAACUUGAGUGUUGGUAGGGCAAGAGGAAAUUCCCGGUGUAGCGGUGAAUGCGUAGAAUAUCGGGAAGAACACCAGUGGCGAAGCGCUCUGCUGGGCCAUAACUGACC
rnacentral:rRNA from 1 species